rnacentral:lncRNA from 1 species
AAGCUACAAUCCAUCUGACAAAUGGGACCUUGGGGAAGCAAUGGAGAGAACCUAAAUUUUAGAGAUCUCUUGAUUAUAGGAGUCAAAAGCAUGAGAGUGGGGCGGGAAGGAGUUCAGGAGCAAGGCAACUUCUUUUCUUCACCAAGGAGACAUAAAUAUGUAAACUCAGGUCCUCUUUUUGUGAAUUGACCACAUGGAUAAAGGAGGAAAA